rnacentral:rRNA from 1 species
ACGUAGGGUGCGAGCGUUAAUCGGAAUUACUGGGCGUAAAGCGUGCGCAGGCGGUUUUGUAAGACAGAUGUGAAAUCCCCGGGCUUAACCUGGGAAUGGCGUUUGUGACUGCAAGACUUGAGUGCGGCAGAGGGGGGUGGAAUUCCACGUGUAGCAGUGAAAUGCGUAGAUAUGUGGAGGAACACCGAUGGCGAAGGCAGCCCCCUGGGUCGACACUGACGCUCAGGCACGAAAGCGUGGGGAGCAAACAGGAUUAGAUACCCUGGUAGUCCACGCCCUAAACUAUGCCAACUAGUUGUUGGGGAAGGAGACUUCCUUAGUAACGAAGCUAACGCGUGAAGUUGGCCGCCUGGGGAGUACGGUCGCAAGAUUA